UCUUCUCUAAAAGCACCAUGUUGUCUUGACACAAUAGCAGCAUUGGUCGUUGACGGGAAGAAGAGCAAUGCAAGGCCUUCGGGUGAAGUGUUUGAGGAUUAUUCCUGUGACAUUCAACUUCAAUCAGGCUUGCUACAACU